rnacentral:rRNA from 1 species
GUGGGGAAUAUUGCACAAUGGGGGAAACCCUGAUGCAGCGACGCCGCGUGGAGGAAGAAGGUCUUCGGAUUGUAAACUCCUGUUGUUGAGGAAGAUAAUGACGGUACUCAACAAGGAAGUGACGGCUAACUACGUGCCAGCAGCCGCGGUAAAACGUAGGUCACAAGCGUUGUCCGGAAUUACUGGGUGUAAAGGGAGCGCAGGCGGGAGAACAAGUUGGAAGUGAAAUCCAUGGGCUCAACCCAUGAACUGCUUUCAAAACUGUUUUUUCUUGAGUAGUGCAGAGGUAGGCGGAAUUCCCGGUGUAGCGGUGGAAUGCGUAGAUAUCGGGAGGAACACCAGUGGCGAAGGCGGCCUACUGGGCACCAACUGACGCUGAGGCUCGAAAGUGUGGGUAGCAAACAGGAUUAGAUACCCGGGUAGUCC